UAAUAGAAGUACCGCCCGUAUUACGUUUUAUUUUCCCUAAUCCUGUUAUUGUUUUUCAGACGUAGAACGUGAAGACUUGGAUGAUGUCGAUCUCUGGUCAAACACACAAGUACGUGAGUGGGACGGAGUGACAUUUAGCAGUGAGCGAGACAAUGAGAGCGAGACGGUAAGGAGUCAGACACCGUAUGCUUGGGGGGAAGAAGAAGAAGAAGAAGAAGAAGCAGCAUCAGCGUCGAUCGUGGAUGCGGAUGCAGAAACGGUUGGUGACGAACUCAGGUCGGCGAGCCUAAGGCACGAGGUACUCCUUCAUGAAAUAAUUAAUAAAUUGGAUGAUAUCGACCUAGCUACGAAUGCGAAUCAAAUUGACGACGUGACGAACGGGUUACGUCAAUUGGGAACAACGGUUCACGAAAACUUUGAGACAGUUCACGACACCCUUCGUGAGCUGUUGCGCGAGAGGAGACUUUUGGUGGAUCCUGUCGCCAAUCUAAAUCACUUUAUAAUGAGGAGAUAACUGCUCUAUAACAUUUUUAUUGUUGCUGAUUUUAAUUAUGUAAACACCAGCAAUUUUUAAUGUUGCCGAUUUGUUAUUAUCAGUAUUAGACUAUAAUUUAGACGAUAUCUGCACAGUGCUAUUUCAUGUUAAUCUCGUAGUCAAUUCCAUUAUUAAGGCUGUAUGGUUUUAUAUUUUCUUUUUAUUUGUUGUUUGUAAUCACUUUGAUCUUAUCACAGUAUGGUUUAAAAUUUUGUUACCUUUUGUCUGUAGUCACUUUGAUCUUAUCACCAUAUGGUUUAAACUUUUGUUACCUUUUGUCUUUAAUCAGUUUGAUGUUACCAGUGUAUGGUUUAAACUCUGUUGCCUUUAUAAAGAUGUAGUUAUAUUUUUUGUCUGUAAUAAUUAAAAAAAAUGAAUGCCGGAGAUGUACACGGAGCCAAAGCUCUUUCUGACACGCUACAGAGUAUAAUUGAUUUGCAAAUACAAAAUGCUCCUGAUAA